rnacentral:tRNA from 1 species
GGUGGCUCAGUGGUAGAGUGCUUGCCUAGCAUGCAUGAGGUCUUAGGUUCAAUUCCUCAGCACCA